AAGGGCACCACAAGAACGCGUGGAGCAUGUGGCUUAAUUUGACUCAACGCGGGAAAUCUUACCGGGUCCGGACACACUGAGGAUUGACAGGCGUUUGUAAUUGAACUUAGCUUUUUGUUGUUUCGGCAGUGGAGAGCGGUUUUUUUACUAUAAAUAUGCUAGUCCUUUCAUGAUUGUGUGAUAGGUGGUGCAUGGCCGUUCUUAGUUCGUGGAGUGAUCUGUCUGCUUAAUUGCGUUUCACAAAGAACUUUCUAACUUCCGUUUGUUGCGCGGCACCUCUGGUGUCUGUCGCACGGCGGAGAAAAAGUUCUGAAGGCAACGAACGUGACCGCAACCUCUUGUUGCCUCCUUCCCUAUCCAAUGGGACAUAGCUGUGCUCUGUCUUCGGACCGGGUGUAGCUUGCAUGGAGAUUUUUAGCCAACUAGAGGGACCGCUGACAACUUUUAAAACAGAGGGAGGUUGCGGCAAUAACAGGUCUGUGAUGCCCUUAGAUGUUCCGGGCUGCACACGUGCUACAAUGAUUAUUGCAGUGAGCAUCUAAAUUUACAAGGAGAUUGGUUUUGUGUUUCUGGGGUUUUCUUCAGUGCACAGACCGCUCCACUCACCUGCUUCGAAAGUAAGCAGGUAAUCAAUUGGAAGUAAUGAUUUCCUUAAUCGCACAUACCUAUAUCUCUUGAUUGUAGCCGUGCCUUGCCACUUGUGGCUUGGUAUUGUUUUGCUACCUGGAGAUAUGUGCUCCAUAAAUUCAUGGUGGGGACAGACCAUUGUUAAUUGUUGGUCUCGGUCUCAACUAGGAAUGCCUUGUACGGGUCUUUGGUUCAACAGACCACCCGGAAUAUGUCCCUGCCCUUUGUACACACCGCCCGUCA
rnacentral:rRNA from 1 species